rnacentral:tRNA from 1 species
GGGAAGGUGGCUCAGUGGUAGAGCGCUUGCCUUGCAUGCCAGAAGCCCUGGGUUCGAUUCCUCAGCUCCA